CCUACGGGGGGCAGCAGUAGGGAAUCUUCCACAAUGGGCGAAAGCCUGAUGGAGCAACGCCGCGUGGGUGAAGAAGGUCUUCGGAUCGUAAAACCCUGUUGUUAGAGAAGAAAGUGCGUGAGAGUAACUGUUCACGUUUCGACGGUAUCUAACCAGAAAGCCACGGCUAACUACGUGCCAGCAGCCGCGGUAAUACGUAGGGGGCAAGCGUUAUCCGGAUUUAUUGGGCGUAAAGGGAACGCAGGCGGUCUUUUAAGUCUGAUGUGAAAGCCUUCGGCUUAACCGGAGUAGUGCAUUGGAAACUGGGAGACGUGAGUGCAGAAGAGGAGGGUGGAACUCCAGGUGUAGCGGUGAAAUGCGUAGAUAUAUGGAAGAACACCAGUGGCGAAAGCGGCUCUCUGGUCUGUAACUGACGCUGAGGUUCGAAAGCGUGGGUAGCAAACAGGAUUAGAUACCCCUGUAGUC
rnacentral:rRNA from 1 species